CUUCUCACUCCAGAAGUAUUGAAUCAAAAUAUGGAGCAGGAAACAGGCAAGGCCAGUGAAGGAGUGUGGCUCUGAUAGGAUUGACAGCUACUACCUUAGAUGAUGAAUCAAGCUCAGAAAGGAUCCCUCUGGAUUUCCCUGUGCCAUGUAAGAAGUGCCUGCUUUCCCUUUGCCUUCUGUCAUGAUUGAGAGUUUCCUGAGGCCUCCCCAGCCAUGUUACCUGUACAGCCUGCAGAACUAUGAGGGAACCGAGGCAAUGAAUGAAGUCACAUACCCAACAUCACAUUGCCAGUGAAUGGGAGAGCUGAGGUUUGAAUCUACACAGAACCUGCACUCUUAGCUAUCUAACUGCUUUAGUUGGCAGUGAUGUGAGAUU
rnacentral:antisense_RNA from 1 species